UAAAACGUAGGAGGCAAGCGUUAUCCGGAGUUACUGGGCGUAAAGCGCAUGUAGGCGGUUGGGCAAGUGGCGAGUGAAAGCUCCCGGCUAAACUGGGAGAGGACACGUCAGACUGCCCGGCUAGAGGAUGGUAGAGGGGCGCAGAAUUCCGGGUGUAGCGGUGAAAUGUGUAGAGAUCCGGAGGAAUACCAGUGGUGAAGACGGCGCCCUGGGCCAUUACUGACGCUGAGAUGCGAAAGCGUGGGGAGCGAACGGGAUUAGAGACCCCGGUAGUCCACGCCGUAAACGAUGCUUGCUAGGUGUCCACUGUCCGACAGGACAGGGGGUGCCGAAGCUAACGCGCUAAGCAAGCCGCCUGGGGAGUACGGUCGCAAGGCUA
rnacentral:rRNA from 1 species